rnacentral:rRNA from 1 species
GAUGAACGCUGGCGGCGUGCCUAAUACAUGCAAGUCGAGCGAACAGAUAAGGAGCUUGCUCCUGUGACGUUAGCGGCGGACGGGUGAGUAACACGUGGGUAACCUACCUAUAAGACUGGGAUAACUUCGGGAAACCGGAGCUAAUACCGGAUAACAUUUAGAACCGCAUGGUUCUAAAGGGAAAGAUGGUUUUGCUAUCACUUAUAGAUGGACCCGCGCCGUAUUAGCUAGUUGGUAAGGUAACGGCUUACCACGGCAACGAUACGUAGCCGACCUGAGAGUGUGAUCGGCCACACUGGAACUGAGACACGGUCCCGACUCCUACGCGAGGCAGCAGCAGGGAAUCUUCAGCAAAGGGCGAAAGCCUGACGGAGCAACGCCGCGUGAGUGAUGAAGGUUAUCGGCUCGUAGAACUCUGUUAUUAGGGAAGAACAAACGUGUAAGUAACUGUGCGCGUCUUGACGGUACCUAAUCAGAAAGCCACGGCUAACUACGUG